GGCAACAACAUUAUCUGCUAAACAUGUGACU
rnacentral:piRNA from 1 species